AGUAAACGUGAAACGUCUGUGUCAGCGCCUCAAUAAUGCCGUGACUGACAUUUUCAUCUGAAGCGGGAGGUCAAACGAGGAUCUGACUGUGGAUGUGGGAUACUGGUUUAAAGGAAGCACCAAUCGUAAAGGUUACCUGACAGAAUUCUGUGAGCUCCAUGGAAGCGAGUAUUUGGAAAUACUUAUGCACGUUUCCAUUCG